GAUGAACGCUAGCUACAGGCUUAACACAUGCAAGCCGAGGGGUAGCAGGGUAGCAAUACCGCUGACGACCGGCGCACGGGUGAGUAACACGUAUCCAACCUUCCCAUAACUCGGGGAUAGCCUUUCGAAAGAAGGAUUAAUACCCGAUAGUACUUUUUCAAGGCAUCUUGAGAAAGUUAAAGAUUUAUUGGUUAUGGAUGGGGAUGCGUUCCAUUAGAUAGUUGGUGAGGUAACGGCUCACCAAGUCUUCGAUGGAUAGGGGUUCUGAGAGGAAGGUCCCACACAUUGGUACUGAGACACGGACCAAACUCCUAUGGGAGGCAGCAGUGAGGAAUAUUGGUCAAUGGGCGAGAGCCUGAACCAGCCAAGUAGCGUGAAGGAUGAAGGUCCUAUGGAUUGUAAACUUCUUUUAUAGUAGAAUAAAGUGACCUACGUGUAGGUUUUUGUAUGUAUACUAUGAAUAAGGAUCGGCUAACUCCGUGCCAGCCGCCGCAGUAA
rnacentral:rRNA from 1 species